rnacentral:rRNA from 1 species
GGGUUGUGAGGUUAAGCGACUAAGCGUACACGGUGGAUGCCCUGGCAGUCAGAGGCGAUGAAGGACGUGCUAAUCUGCGAUAAGCGCCGGUAAGGUGAUAUGAACCGUUAUAACCGGCGAUUUCCGAAUGGGGAAACCCAGUGUGAUUCGUCACACUAUCAUUAACUGAAUCCAUAGGUUAAUGAGGCGAACCGGGGGAACUGAAACAUCUAAGUACCCCGAGGAAAAGAAAUCAACCGAGAUUCCCCCAGUAGCGGCGAGCGAACGGGGAGGAGCCCAGAGCCUGAAUCAGCAUGUGUGUUAGUGGAAGCGUCUGGAAAGGCGCGCGAUACAGGGUGACAGCCCCGUACACAAAAGCGCAUGUGCUGUGAGCUCGAUGAGUAGGGCGGGACACGUGGUAUCCUGUCUGAAUAUGGGGGGACCAUCCUCCAAGGCUAAAUACUCCUGACUGACCGAUAGUGAACCAGUACCGUGAGGGAAAGGCGAAAAGAACCCCGGCGAGGGGAGUGAAAAAGAACCUGAAACCGUGUACGUACAAGCAGUGGGAGCCCCACCACCAAAGCAUUCUCUGGUGUUGAAGGCCCUGCAAAGCAGCAUCGCGGUGGCGGAGCGUCGUUUGCGACGCCCAACACACAAAACAAGCGGUGAAUGCUUUGGGGUGGGGUGACUGCGUACCUUUUGUAUAAUGGGUCAGCGACUUAUAUUCUGUAGCAAGGUUAACCGUAUAGGGGAGCCGGAGGGAAACCGAGUCUUAAUUGGGCGUUAAGUUGCAGGGUAUAGACCCGAAACCCGGUGAUCUAGCCAUGGGCAGGUUGAAGGUUGGGUAACACUAACUGGAGGACCGAACCGACUAAUGUUGAAAAAUUAGCGGAUGACCUGUGGCUGGGGGUGAAAGGCCAAUCAAACCGGGAGAUAGCUGGUUCUCCCCGAAAGCUAUUUAGGUAGCGCCUCGUGAAUUCAUCUCCGGGGGUAGAGCACUGUUUCGGCUAGGGGGCCAUCCCGGCUUACCAACCCGAUGCAAACUGCGAAUACCGGAGAAUGUUAUCACGGGAGACACACGGCGGGUGCUAACGUCCGUCGUGAAGAGGGAAACAACCCAGACCGCCAGCUAAGGUCCCAAAGUCAUGGUUAAGUGGGAAACGAUGUGGGAAGGCCCAGACAGCCAGGAUGUUGGCUUAGAAGCAGCCAUCAUUUAAAGAAAGCGUAAUAGCUCACUGGUCGAGUCGGCCUGCGCGGAAGAUGUAACGGGGCUAAACCAUGCACCGAAGCUGCGGCAGCGAACGUAUCACCCAAGACAACUUUACGGAGUUGACGAUUGACGGAGCGAAGCGACGUCAAAGCGUUCAUUAAAGUCGAGUUGGCUUAGGGAUACGUUCGUUGGGUAGGGGAGCGUUCUGUAAGCCUGUGAAGGUGUGUCGUGAGGCAUGCUGGAGGUAUCAGAAGUGCGAAUGCUGACAUAAGUAACGAUAAAGCGGGUGAAAAGCCCGCUCGCCGGAAGACCAAGGGUUCCUGUCCAACGUUAAUCGGGGCAGGGUGAGUCGACCCCUAAGGCGAGGCCGAAAGGCGUAGUCGAUGGGAAACGGGUUAAUAUUCCCGUACUUGGUGUUACUGCGAAGGGGGGACGGAGAAGGCUAUGUUGGCCGGGCGACGGUUGUCCCGGUUUAAGCGUGUAGGUGUGUGUUCCAGGUAAAUCCGGUUCACUUUAACACUGAGGCGUGACGACGAGGCACUACGGUGCUGAAGCAACAAAUGCCCUGCUUCCAGGAAAAGCCUCUAAGCAUCAGGUAACACGAAAUCGUACCCCAAACCGACACAGGUGGUCAGGUAGAGAAUACCAAGGCGCUUGAGAGAACUCGGGUGAAGGAACUAGGCAAAAUGGUGCCGUAACUUCGGGAGAAGGCACGCUGACACGUAGGUGAAGUGAUUUACUCAUGGAGCUGAAGUCAGUCGAAGAUACCAGCUGGCUGCAACUGUUUAUUAAAAACACAGCACUGUGCAAACACGAAAGUGGACGUAUACGGUGUGACGCCUGCCCGGUGCCGGAAGGUUAAUUGAUGGGGUCAGCGUAAGCGAAGCUCCUGAUCGAAGCCCCGGUAAACGGCGGCCGUAACUAUAACGGUCCUAAGGUAGCGAAAUUCCUUGUCGGGUAAGUUCCGACCUGCACGAAUGGCGUAAUGAUGGCCAGGCUGUCUCCACCCGAGACUCAGUGAAAUUGAACUCGCUGUGAAGAUGCAGUGUACCCGCGGCAAGACGGAAAGACCCCGUGAACCUUUACUAUAGCUUGACACUGAACAUUGAGCCUUGAUGUGUAGGAUAGGUGGGAGGCUUUGAAGUGUGGACGCCAGUCUGCAUGGAGCCGACCUUGAAAUACCACCCUUUAAUGUUUGAUGUUCUAACGUGGACCCGUAAUCCGGGUUGCGGACAGUGUCUGGUGGGUAGUUUGACUGGGGCGGUCUCCUCCUAAAGAGUAACGGAGGAGCACGAAGGUUGGCUAAUCCUGGUCGGACAUCAGGAGGUUAGUGCAAUGGCAUAAGCCAGCUUGACUGCGAGCGUGACGGCGCGAGCAGGUGCGAAAGCAGGUCAUAGUGAUCCGGUGGUUCUGAAUGGAAGGGCCAUCGCUCAACGGAUAAAAGGUACUCCGGGGAUAACAGGCUGAUACCGCCCAAGAGUUCAUAUCGACGGCGGUGUUUGGCACCUCGAUGUCGGCUCAUCACAUCCUGGGGCUGAAGUAGGUCCCAAGGGUAUGGCUGUUCGCCAUUUAAAGUGGUACGCGAGCUGGGUUUAGAACGUCGUGAGACAGUUCGGUCCCUAUCUGCCGUGGGCGCUGGAGAACUGAGGGGGGCUGCUCCUAGUACGAGAGGACCGGAGUGGACGCAUCACUGGUGUUCGGGUUGUCAUGCCAAUGGCACUGCCCGGUAGCUAAAUGCGGAAGAGAUAAGUGCUGAAAGCAUCUAAGCACGAAACUUGCCCCGAGAUGAGUUCUCCCUGAGACUUAGAGUCUCCUGAAGGAACGUUGAAGACGACGACGUUGAUAGGCCGGGUGUGUAAGCGCAGCGAUGCGUUGAGCUAACCGGUACUAAUGAACCGUGAGGCUUAACCUUACAACGCCGAAG